rnacentral:rRNA from 1 species
CUACGGGUGGCUGCAGUGGGGAAUAUUGGACAAUGGGGGAAACCCUGAUCCAGCAAUGCCGCGUGUGUGAAGAAGGCCUGCGGGUUGUAAAGCACUUUCGGUUGGGAGGACUGCUUCUAGCACUAAUAUUGUUGGAAGUUGACGUUACCUUCAGAAGAAGCACCGGCUAACUCCGUGCCAGCAGCCGCGGUAAUACGGAGGGUGCAGGCGUUAAUCGGAAUUACUGGGCGUAAAGCGCGCGAAGGCGGCUAGAUCAGUCGGGUGUGAAAGCCCCGGGCUUAACCUGGGAACUGCAUCCGAUACUGUCUAGCUUGAGUACAGGAGAGGAGAGUGGAAUUCCACAUGUAGCGGUGACAUGCGUAGAUAUGUGGAGGAACACCAAUGGCGAAGGCAGCUCUCUGGCCUGAUACUGACGCUGAGGUGCGAAAGCGUGGGGAGCAAACAGGAUUAGAUACCCUCGUAGUC